rnacentral:misc_RNA from 1 species
AAGUCGUAACAAGGUAACCGUAGGUGAACCUGCGGUUGGAUCAUUAACAAAUUCAACCAAAACGAAUUGUCUUUUGACAUUUUCGGUUUGAACACCUGUGAACUGUUAUAGUCUCUGGUGGGUAAAGUCUUGAGUAAUUGAGAUGGAUGUAUGUCCACCCACCGAUUUUAAACUUGUAUUAUAUUUGUCUUGUAAAAGUUAUUAUUUAAUAAUAAACAACUUUUGGCAACGGAUCUCUUGGCUCUC